GAAAUAAACCCCGAGAACUGCAGCACUCACAGGGAUUGCAUAUAAAGCCAUCAACAGGAAUAUGACUACCAGAGGAAACUUAGCCAACAAAUGAGCAACAAGAGCCAUUGACUUACGUACCGAGUCAUGGAGCCUCCCAGUUCUGAAGAAUCCUCUGGUCACACCAUUCCACCAGCUGCGAUUGUCCAGCAACCCUUCAUCACCCAAGGCGGUAUUACUCACUCCAUCACACCUAUUUCUCAAGUCUCUCUGCCCUGAAGCAACCCUUUUGUUGUCGCUGGGUGCCUCCGAUCUGGAGCCAUUCAUGCUUUCUACCAUCCACAGAAGGUAAAAGUUCUUGG